CUAGAAAUAAUGUUUUCCUCAAACAUCGUCCUUCCUUUUUGGAUCAAAACUCUUCACAAUUACUACCAACUAUCAACCCUUUAACCAACCCCCUCCCCCCAAAAAAAAAAUCUGCUCCUCCAUUGUUGUUUCUAUCAAUGAAACCUAGUAUUGAAAAUGGCUUCAGAUCUGAACUUAAUAGCACUAUGAAAAAUUCGUAGAUAUUUUGUUCGAUUUGAUCCAUGAAGUUUCCGAUUGGCAUUUACAUAUAUGAUUUAGAUUACAAUCUUCAAUCUCUAAUUAUUGCCUUGCAUUUCCAGCUACUUCAAUGUCUAGGAACAGUCUUAAGAUCCAUUUGUCAAUCGGUAAGAUCCAACCCGGAUCCGAAAAUAAAAACGGGUCGCCUGUUUAUACCGAUAGUGGUACAUGCGAGCAUUUGUCGGAGCUCCGAUCCAGAGUUGGGUCGAACCCAUUUUUCAACUUCCGGGGCUGCGUGAAGGUCCGGCCAUUGGGGCGUGCGUCCAUCCGCCGUGAGCCGCCGAAUGAGCUGGUGAGAUGUGGUGCGUGCGGACAGGCGCCGCCGCGGUUGUACGCCUGCGUCACGUGCGCCGCGGUAUUCUGCCGUGUGCACGCGCCGUCGCAUCCGGUGGGGAACGCUUCCGAUCCCUCGCUGCACAGCAUCGCCGUGGACAUCGACAGGGCCGAGCUGUUCUGCUGCGGGUGUAGGGACCAGGUAUACGAUCGAGACUUCGACGCCGCCGUAGUACUAGCGCAGACGGAGGCUACCGUGAUCGGAUCAAUACAAGACCCUCCGCCGCAGCCGGAGAACACGCGCAAGAGGAGGCGCGUGGAGUAUAAGCCGUGGACGCCUGAUGUGAAAGAGCAGGUCUUGAUCGUUGGGAAUUCGAGUCCGUUGCCGAGUCAGCUCGGCAAUGACUCAACAACCCCAGAAGUACAAUGGGGUUUGAGGGGCCUUAACAAUCUUGGAAACACGUGUUUUAUGAAUUCAGUGCUUCAAGCAUUGCUUCAUACACCACCAUUGAGGAAUUACUUUCUGAGUGACAAGCAUAACAGAUAUUUUUGCCAGCGAAAGAAUAACAGUGUUAUAACAAGGAGUAGUAGUGAUAAUGGGAAUAAGAACUCAACAAUGCUGUGUUUAGCUUGUGAUUUGGAUGCAAUGUUUUCUGCUGUUUUCUCCGGCGAUUGGACCCCUAUUAGUCCUGCAAAGUUCCUCUACAGUUGGUGGAAGCAUGCAUCAAAUCUUGCAAGUUAUGAACAGCAGGAUGCUCAUGAGUUUUUCAUUUCCGUGCUUGAUGGGAUUCAUGAAAGGAUGCAGAACGAUAAAGGAAAGGCGUUGAGUCCAGGCAGCGGAGACUGUUGCAUUGCUCAUAGAGUAUUUUCUGGGAUCUUGCGGUCUGAUGUCAUGUGUACAGCUUGUGGCUUCACAUCUACUACAUAUGAUCCAUGUAUAGACAUCUCCUUGGACUUGGAACUGAGCCAGGGGAGUUCCGCCAAGAUGACAUCAAAGAAGUCUCAUAAUACUCACAAAAAGGAGGCAGAAUCUGGAAAGUUUAGCCAAAACGGUCGAAUUUCUACGUUGAUGGGAUGCUUAGAUCAUUUCACAAGACCUGAGAAAUUGGGUUCUGAUCAGAAGUUCUUCUGCCAACAUUGUCAAGUGAGACAGGAAUCUCUUAAACAGAUGUCCAUAAGAAAACUGCCUUUAGUUUCUUGCUUCCAUAUCAAAAGGUUUGAGCAUUCUGUGAUUAAGAAAAUGUCAAGGAAGGUUGAUCACUACCUACAGUUUCCUUUUUCCUUGGACAUGUCGCCUUAUCUCUCUUCAUCUAUCUUGAGGAGUCGAUUUGGAAAUAGAAUCUUCUCCUUUGACGGGGACGAGCAAGAUGCGUCCUGUGAAUCGUCCUCGGAAUUUGAGUUGUUUGCUGUCAUCACCCAUACUGGUAAACUUGAUGCUGGUCAUUACGUAACAUAUCUGAGGUUAAGCAAUCAAUGGUACAAAUGUGACGAUGCCUGGAUAACUCAGGUGAGCGAGAGUAUUGUGAGAGCUGCGCAAGGAUACAUGAUGUUUUAUGUGCAGAAAAUGCUGUAUUACAAGGCUAGUGAAAACCAGGUUAGCUAGAAGGAAACAAGCAAUAGCUACUUUUUGCGAAGCACUGAUGCGGCACUCCAGAUUCAAAUAACCCAUGAGCUCUAGGUACGUAGAUAUAUUUGCGAAAAGAGGGUCAUAUGUGAAGCCCUUGAAUAUGUAUGAAGCAUCUUGUCUUUGUUGGGAGUAGAAGACCAAGCUGAUGAUGUUUUUGUUCCAGAGUGCUGCUGCUUUGAGUUUUUCAAUUCUCAGUUGGAGUGUAAUCUUCCUGAAUUUUAAAGGCCCACACUCCUGCAUUCAGAAAAUUUUGGCACUUGAGCAACUGAAUCUAUAUGCUAGAUUUGGCUGGUGAAUGGUGACCUUCAUUGAGCUGCUGGUGAGUAGUUUCAAAGAACUUUGUCUUCCAUUCAACCAGCAAUGGAUUACGAAUAGAUCUGCAAUAAAGCAAAAUGUGUCGAUGACCAGCUUAUAAGCACUUUUUUGGCUUAUAUAUACAUUUGGUAAUCACCAAAAGUGUUUAUAAGCACAACACUGCCUUAAAGUUAUACGUUUGUCACCCCCAAUUUUAUGGCUUUUCAGCUUAUAAGUAUUUUUAAUUUGAUUAAAUUUUUUAUUGUCUCAUCCUUAAUUGUUUCUGGUAUUCCCAAAAUCAAAAGUUCUAACUCUUUUAUUUUCAU